UCACUGAACCUGGAGAAUGACUUUUUUGAGGAAAUAGGGGCCUUAAACAAACCUAGCUCAUUCCUUCGUCUUCUACACUAUCCAGGUCCAGUGUACAGUCAUCUAUCUUAUAUUCAUGGCUAGUGAGUAAAUAUCAUUGUUAUUUGCCUUGGACUGAUCUGAACUUAUUUCAAUUCCUGUUGGACUUGAAUUAUGCAUGACAGGAGAAGUAUACUAUCAGUGCUAUAAGUUGUGUACAACGCUUACUUUGGUACCAAAAGUUUCCGUCGGAUCACUUAAGUGCCAAAAUAGGGACCUUAAACAAACCUAGCUCAUUCCUUCGUUUUCCAUCCUCCUCAAGAAAUGAUGUCAUUUUGCCGUUAUAUGUGGAUAUCCUCAUAGAAACGACGCUGUAUAGUUCAUGGGGAUUGAAAUUAGGGCUUCCUCCGCUCACCGCUCGGCCACCGUCGUUCGCUUGCCAUCGCUCGGCCACUGUUGCUUCGCCACCAUUGUAGUUGCUCAACCGGGUGAGCGAGGAAAGAUUGAGAUUGUUGCUCAAGCAAGAAGUGGUAGGAAGAAUAGGAAACGAG
rnacentral:lncRNA from 1 species